rnacentral:rRNA from 1 species
UUAUAAAGCUCGUAGUUGGAUUUCGGACUGGUGCAGUUUGGUCUGCCGCAAUGUGUGUUACUGAACUGUGCUGUCUUCUUCUCAGAGUCCUGCUGUGCACUUGAUUGUGUGCAGUAUUUUGGAAUUUGAGACGUUUACUUUGAAAAAAUUAGAGUGUUCAAAGCAGGCCUUGUUAUGCCCGAAUACAUGAGCAUGGAAUAAUGGAAUAGGACUACGGUCUUAUUUUGUUGGUUUCAGAGACCGAAGUAAUGAUUAAGAGGGACAAUUGGGGGCAUCCGUAUUUCGUUGUCAGAGGUGAAAUUCUUGGAUUUACGA